GGCCGACUAGCUCAGUUGGUUAGAGCGUGGUGCUAAUACUACUCCGUGGAGUGUGUGUCACGCCAAGGUCGUCGGUUCGACCCCGGCGUUGGCCA